CUAGAGGCCAGACCAGCUAGAGGGUGGGUGUCUGACCUGCUGAGGGGGCGGGGCCUGGAGAAUAAGAGUGGCACCGCUCAAGACCAGGCUUAAGCUCAAGGACAGAACCCAGGCUCAUGUAGAGAGGAACCACAAGGACGGGCCACCAUCAGCACUGCGCUGAUACCCAGGCACUAUGGAAUUCAGAAGAUAGGAGUCUAGCAGCCUCCAGACAGGGCAAGGAGGGGACAGAGAAAGAUGUGGGUGCAGGACCCACAGACGCCUCUCCUUCCCUGCCUGCUGAGCCACCCUCCCCAGGCCCUCGGGAUCAGGUACAAGUUCUGCCUGGCGUUCAGUGGCAUCAUCUUCCGCUGACCUACAUUUCCAGCCACGUCAUUCAUUUCUCCCAGCUCAAACCCCAGCCUCCACCAUCCAGGACGAUUCACAGGGGAUGUUACCCCAUGACACGAGGCCUCGGAGGUGGUCUCCACAUACCAGCGGACCCCCAGAAUCACCCUGCAGGAAAGAGGGAGAAAAGCGAUGCUGUCCACUAAAUACUACGAUGCUAUGAUCUCUAUCUGCACUGUCCAGAGGUGGCUGGGGGCACCACAAGCUGCAGGUGGCUGCUGAGUACUUGAAAUGUGGCUUGUGGAUUUUCUAUUUCAUUAACUUCAAUAUAAUUUGCUAUAUGUGGCUGAUGGCUACCAUAUUAGACAGUGCAGCUCUAGGAUGUCAAGAUGGGGAUUUUUGUUCUAUUCAGAUAUAGUAUCUCCAGUACCUUGAUCAGCACCUGGCACAUAAUAGGUGUUUGAUACACAUUCUUGAAACAAACAGAGAGUCACUCCCUUGCUCAAACAUCACCCAUGGCUCCCCAUUGUCCUAAUAAUAAAACCUGGGCUCCUCCACUUGGCACUGGAGCCCCUGUGCGA